rnacentral:rRNA from 1 species
CGUGCGACGCCGCGUGUGGGAUGAAGGCCCUUGGGUUGUAAACCACUGUCAGGGGGAAGGAAUAAGGCUGGCGACACCAGCUGAUGACUUAUACCCCAGAGGAAGUGACGGCUAACUACGUGCCAGCAGCUGCGGUAAUACGUAGGUCACGAACGUUAUUCGGAAUCACUGGGCUUAAAGGGCGCGUAGGCGGCUUAAUAAGUUACGACUGAAAUCCGGCGGCUCACCCGUCGAACUGGCCGUAAUACUGUUGAGCUGGAGGUACGGAGGGAUGCGUGGAACUUGUGGUGGAGCGGUGAAAUGCCCAGAUAUCACAGGGAACACCGGUGGCGAAGGCGACGCAUUGGCCGCAAUCUGACGCUGAGGCGCGAAAGCAUGGGGAGCGAACGGGAUUAGAUACCCCGGUAGUCCAUGCCGUAAACGAUGUGCACUAGGGAGAGGGCGGGUCCUAACUCGCUCCCUCCCCAAGCAAAAGCGUUAAGUGCACCGCCUGGGGAGUAUGCUCGCAA